GCUCUGGUUUACAAGAACUAAUUCAAUGUUUCAUUGCAUUUUUGUAAGAACAUAGAAUAAUUUUAUAAAAUGUUUGUAGUUUAUAAUUGCCGAAAAUAAUUUAAAAACACUUUUUUUUUCUCUCUGUGUGUGCAAAAAUAUGUGUUUGUGGUCUUUUUUCCCCCUCUUUGUUUCCUUUUUCUUUUUUGACACUUGUUUACUAGCUAGCUUUACAAUAUGCCAAAAAUAAAAAAUAAAAACUUAAAAAAAUUAAUUAAAAAGAAAUUCUCCCCAGGACCAAUUGUGGUUCACCCUCUUUCCCACAUGCUUUCUGCUCUAGUUUGUAAAAAAAUAAAUAAUAAAUAAAUAAAACAAAAAAAAAUAAAACAGAUAAAAAUAAAAACAAAACAAAAGGAAUGCCAGUGGUUUAAAAAGUACUUCUGUAUUCUUCAGUAUCUUGAUCUUGGAACCCUUUGCUGGGGAAAGGAAUUAUCUGGGACUCACUGUUCCCUGUGGAGUGUAGCAGCCCAAACAGAUGGAAAGAACUGCUGGCCAUGGAAAUAGCAGUGUGUGGCCACCCAGCAAAGAGAUGGCACUCCAUGGUGACAUCUGGCUGGUAUGGCUGGUCCUAGCUCUGCAACACUAUGGAGAUGGGAGGGUUUCAGGACACUGGAAUGGCUUCACAGUGAUCACAUGACUCUGAUGUGCAGCCCGUGGGCACAUGUGCCUCAGAUCCUAACGAAUGCUGUGCCUACCUGUAUCUAAUGGCGAACGCCGAAGGUCCAUUGUUUUCUAAUACAGAACAAACUGGUAACAAAAACCACAAUGUGUGUCCCCUCGCCCCCUUUUUUCAAAUUAAGAUCCAUGUCCUUUGGCUCCCCGUGCAUUAUUGGCCAUGUCUCUCUGGUUCCACAAGAUACCGUUGUUGAAAACACAUGGAACUUUCUAACACUGCAGGAAAAAGGUCUGGGAACCAUUUGUGGGUUUGGUUUGGUCUUUCAGUUUCUUGUGGGUGUUGGGCAGUGUGCAGACACAUGUACAGGUGGAGUAGGUGCCUGCCUGGUGACAACCCCUGUCUGCUUCCUAUGCCAGUGAGGUUGAAGUAAGAGUUUUGCCAGAGUUCAUCUACCUCUGGGAUUU
rnacentral:lncRNA from 1 species